GCCCAUUUGAGGGGGAUACCAGUUGGAAACGACUGUUAAUACCGCAUAGUAUCUGUGGAUUAAAGGUGGCUUUUGGGCUGUCGCAGAUGGAUGAGCCUGCGUUGGAUUAGCUAGUUGGUGGGGUAAGGGCCUACCAAGGCUACGAUCCAUAGCUGAUUUGAGAGGAUGAUCAGCCACAUUGGGACUGAGACACGGCCCAAACUCCUACGGGAGGCAGCAGUGAGGAAUAUUGGACAAUGGGGGCAACCCUGAUCCAGCAAUGCCAUGUGUGUGAAGAAGGCCUUAGGGUUGUAAAGCACUUUAGUUGGGGAAGAAAGCUUUGAGGUUAAUAGCCUUGAGGAAGGACGUUACCCAAAGAAUAAGCACCGGCUAACUCCGUGCCAGCAGCCGCGGUAAUACGGGGGGUGCAAGCGUUAAUCGGAAUUACUGGGCGUAAAGAGUCUGUAGGUGGUUUGUUAAGUCAGAUGUGAAAGCCCAGGGCUCAACCUUGGAACUGCAUUUGAUACUGGCAAACUAGAGUACGGUAGAGGAAUGGGGAAUUUCUGGUGUAGCGGUGAAAUGCGUAGAGAUCAGAAGGAACACCAAUGGCGAAGGCAACAUUCUGGACCGAUACUGACACUGAGGGACGAAAGCGUGGGGAUCAAACAGGAUUAGAUACCCUGGUAGUCCACGCUGUAAACGAUGAGUACUAGCUGUUGGAGUCGGUGUAAAGGCUCUAGUGGCGCAGCUAACGCGAUAAGUACUCCGCCUGGGGACUACGGCCGCAAGGCUAAAACUCAAAGGAAUUGACGGGGACCCGCACAAGCGGUGGAGCAUGUGGUUUAAUUCGAUGCAACGCGAAGAACCUUACCUGGUCUUGACAUCCUGCGAACUUUCUAGAGAUAGAUUGGUGCCUUCGGGAACGCAGUGACAGGUGCUGCACGGCUGUCGUCAGCUCGUGUUGUGAAAUGUUGGGUUAAGUCCCGCAACGAGCGCAACCCCUAUUGAUAGUUACCAUCAUUAAGUUGGGUACUCUAUUGAGACUGCCGCUGACAAGGCGGAGGAAGGUGGGGACGACGUCAAGUCAUCAUGGCCCUUACGACCAGGGCUACACACGUGCUACAAUGGGUAUUACAGAGGGCUGCGAAGGUGCGAGCUGGAGCGAAACUCAAAAAGGUACUCUUAGUCC
rnacentral:rRNA from 1 species